rnacentral:rRNA from 1 species
AUGGCCGCCAACGGCCAGCCGGCGGCGGCGGCCGCCACCAUCGACGACCUCCCUGAAAACCUGCUGCUCGAUAUCUUCCUCCGCCUUGCCUCCCUCUCGGACCUCGUCCGCGCCGCCUGCACCUGCCUGGCCUGGCGCAACCUGGUGACCAAUUUUCCCCCCUUCCGCCGUCAAUUCAUCGACCUCCACCCGGUGCCCCUCCUCGGCCUCUUCUUCGACACACCAUUUCAUGGUGUCCCCUGCAUCCCCGCCUUCGCCCCCGCCCGCCGGAAUGAUCCGGAGCUCGUGGCCGCCAUCUUGAGCGGUGACUUUUUCCUCACCACCCUCCAGGCGCGCGAUGGACCGGAAGCUAACUGGAUCGUCUACGACGCCCGUGGCGGCUACCUUCUCCUCAAGAAACUGGGCGAGCUAUUGCUCGCGCUGCUAAACCCCUUGGCACGGUGGUGCGAACGGUUCUUUGAUCUGAGUGACGCCCACAUCUUCGACGACGACGACGACCGCGAAGGCGAUGGUCAAUUCCUUCACGCCGGCCUGAUCUGCGAUGACGAAAACCCCGAGAGCUUUCGCAUCUUCUGUCUUGUUGCCCAUGGAAAGUUCAGGUUGCGGGCUGCGGUCUUCUCCUCAUUCUUGGGAAUAGGCGGCGAUUGGUUCCUCUCCCCAUGGUUGGAUGUCCCGCAGCCCGACCCGGAAGGCGGCCAAGGUGAUCUUUUGCCUGAGAGCGGCAUGCGAGUGGGUAAUUUCAUCUACUGGCCAUAUCGGGAUCGUGCGUAUGUGGUUGUCUUGGACCCCGACCCAAACAACCCGCGAUUGUUUGUUGAGAUGAUCCCACCUCUCCUGAAUCUGGAUGGUUUUCCCAGCUCGAUCCUUGGCCAAAUUAACGGCGAUAACAUGUGCAUUGCUUAUUCAAAUGGAUUCAACAUUGGUUUCAUGCUGCGUCAAGAAGAUGGCCUUGAUGCUGGGGCAUGGGCUAACAUCAGGGUAUUCGACCUGACUGAUAAAGUUCGACGGAAGCUUGGGCACUUAACCAAUGGGCUGGAAAUUGCGGCAAUGCGGGGUAGCAUAGUGUACUUCACAACAUCACAGAUGUUCCAUCCGCUCGAGUACACUUGUUGGUUUGCUUGUCUGUGCUUGGAGAGUCGCAGGCUGGAGUGGUUGUUUCCGAGGACGUAUAAUGGUCUCUUCCAACCAUACCACCAUUCAUCGUGGAGUACUUUUCUGUUACCAGAGAAUGAAAGAUUUUAUCCCUUCAUAUGA